rnacentral:rRNA from 1 species
UACGGAGGGUGCGAGCGUUAAUCGGAAUCACUGGGCGUAAAGCGCGCGUAGGCGGCUUUUCAAGUCAGGGGUGAAAUCCCACGGCCCAACCGUGGAACUGCCUUUGAAACUGUAGGGCUUGAGUGUCGGAGAGGGUGGCGGAAUUCCAGGUGUAGGAGUGAAAUCCGUAGAUAUCUGGAGGAACACCGGUGGCGAAGGCGGCCACCUGGACGACAACUGACGCUGAGGUGCGAAAGCGUGGGUAGCAAACAGG